GCAGGAUGACAGACAAAUGAGAAAGUCAGAAUUGGCACAGCAUAGACUGUCUGCAAAACAUAUAAAAAUAUACUCAAUAUCCUAAUGUGACAAACUUGGCUGU